rnacentral:rRNA from 1 species
UACGUAGGGUGCAAGCGUUAAUCGGAAUUACUGGGCGUAAAGCGUGCGCAGGCGGUUCUAUAAGACAGAUGUGAAAUCCCCGGGCUCAACCUGGGAACUGCAUUUGUGACUGUAGAGCUGGAGUACGGCAGAGGGGGAUGGAAUUCCGCGUGUAGCAGUGAAAUGCGUAGAUAUGUGGAGGAACACCGAUGGCGAAGGCAGCCCCCUGGGUCAAAACUGACGCUCAUGCACGAAAGCGUGGGGAGCGAACAGG